rnacentral:rRNA from 1 species
CCUACGGGUGGCAGCAGUGAGGAAUAUUGGUCAAUGCGCGCGAGCCUGAACCAGCCAAGUAGCGUGAAGGAUGACUGCCCUACGGGUUGUAAACUUCUAUUAUAAAGGAAUAAAGUGAGACACGUAUGCCUUUUUGUAUGUACUUUAUGAAUAAGGAUCGGCUAACUCCGUGCCAUCAGCCGCGGUAAUACGGAGGAUCCGAGCGUUAUCCGGAUUUAUUGGGUUUAAAGGGAGCGUAGAUGGGUUGUUAAGUCAGUUGUGAAAGUUUGCGGCUCAACCGUAAAAUUGCAAUUGAUACUGGCAGUCUUGAGUACAGUUGAGGUAGGCGGAAUUCGUGGUGUAGCGGUGAAAUGCUUAGAUAUCACGAAGAACUCCGAUUGCGAAGGCAGCUUACUAAACUGCCACUGACAUUGAUGCUCGAAAGUGUGGGUAUCAAACAGGAUUAGAUACCCGGGUAGUC